rnacentral:rRNA from 1 species
UACGGAGGGUGCAAGCGUUAUCCGGAUUCACUGGGCUUAAAGGGAGCGCAGGCGGAUUGGUAAGUCAGUGGUGAAAGGCUUAAGCUUAACUUGGGAACUGCCAUUGAUACUAUCAGUCUUGAAUGUUGUUGAGGUUUGCGGAAUGGGUCAUGUAGCGGUGAAAUGCAUAGAUAUGACCCGGAACACCUAUUGCGAAGGCAGCAGGCUAAACAAAUAUUGACGCUGAGGCUCGAAAGCGUGGGGAUCAAACAGG